CAGCCGCCGCGGUAAUACGUAGGGGGCAAGCGUUAUCCGGAAUUACUGGGUGUAAAGGGAGCGUAGACGGUUAAACAAGUCUGAAGUGAAAUGCCGGGGCUCAACCCCGGAGCUGCUUUGGGAACUGUAGAACUGGAGUGUCGGAGGGGUAAGCGGAAUUCCCAGUGUAGCGGUGAAAUGCGUAGAUAUAUGGAGGAACACCGGUGGCGAAAGCGGCUCUCUGGUCUGUCACUGACGCUGAGGCUCGAAAGCGUGGGUAGCGAACAGGAUUAGAUACCCCUGUAGUCCCUGUCUCUUAUAC
rnacentral:rRNA from 1 species